GACGAACGCUGGCGGCGUGGAUUAGGCAUGCAAGUCGAACGGUAUCAUCCUUUCGGGGGUGAGAGAGUGGCGAACUGGUGAGUAACACGUAGGUUAUCUACCCUCAAGACGGGGACAACCCAGGGAAACUUGGGCUAAUACCGGAUGUGAGCAACUUUUAGUUGUUUGAAAGGUGGCGUAAGCUGUCGCUUGGGGAUGAGCCUGCGUCCUAUUAGUUAGUUGGUGAGGUAACGGCUCACCUAGGGCAAUGAUAGGUAGGCGGCCUUAACGGGUGGUCGCCCACACUGGGAUUGAGAUACGGCCCAGACUCCUACGGGAGGCAGCAGUCGAGAAUAGUCUACAAUGGUCGGAAGACUGAUAGUGCGACGCCGCGUGAACGAUGAAUCCCUUCGGGGUGUAAAGUUCUUUUAUAUGUGAGCAGUGCUUCUUAUAUUAACAGUAUGGGGAGAGAGAUAUUAAGCAUAUGAAUAAGCAACGGCUAACUCCGUGCCAGCAGCCGCGGU
rnacentral:rRNA from 1 species